AUUGUGUUAGGCUGAGGAGGUUGACCUCCCCCAGACAUUAAUUUGUCUUAUAUUUAAUUUCUGUCUCUGUAGUAAAUGCCAGGAGAGUGUCUGUGUCUCAGCCACACCAGCACCACCACAUCCAUGCCCUCAGGCAAUGCCAGAGGAGAGUGAUCCGGGCUAUGAUGUGUGCUGCAAGAGCAGAAGAUUUCAUGAGGAAUGAUUGUUUCGCAUGAACGAUUCUGCCAAAAGGAACAUCUAGAUGUGUGGCAACAUUAACCCAAGACGCAAUGACAAUAUCAAACUGACAUUUCACAACACGUAAUGUACUUACCACUAUUUGUACUUA
rnacentral:lncRNA from 1 species